UGCGGGAGGAGGUUGCAGGAGAGGGCGCGGCUCGGGGAGAGGGCUCGGCGCCUCCACGUGCCGCAAGAAGCGGUUGUUGGAUACCCAGCGGCGCCUUGCAGAGUCGGCGGCUGUGUUCGUUCUGGGCACGCGGCAGGCGGGCAGGCAGUCAGGAGCGGAACCGGAGGCCGUCUGUCCUCCGAGAGCCUCCGAGCCUCGGGCUCCGGCCGCCGCUCCCGGGUGUGUGCAAGCCGUCGGCCGUUCGCCGGCGACCCCAGGGUUAUGCAGUGUAGACAACGUCCAGAAAUGAGACAGAUCCUCUGCGCAGUCAUCUGGAACAGCGGUCCCCAACCCUUUUGGCACCAGGGACCGGUUUCGUGGAAGACAGCUAAAAAACACGGCAGGACUCUGCUGGUUCCAGAACAGCCCUGCCCUCCUCACACACCUAUGGGCUCUUCCUACCUCCAGAUGCACCCAGAAGUGGAUCCUGCUGUCACUCCCCAUCUCAGGAGGAUUUCCAGAAGCCAUCUCAGUUCCUGGAGGCUGGGCUCAGCCCCAGGUGCACACGCUGAAUUUAGUCUUUCUCCAGCCUACGACUCUCCUGCCCUCCCGCACUUGGGGCCCCGACUUCCUCCUGCAAAAGGAUCUCCUCCCUGCAACUUCCCCCAAACUGGUCCCAAGUCUCAGGAUAAUAAGAACAGAAUGUGCUUGAUGGUUACAGAAGGUGGGUCACUACUACCCACCCCCAGUUACUAGUAUUAGUCACUUCUCACAAAACUCUGUGUGUGUGGGGGGGGUAGUAUUACUACCCCCAUUAUACAGAUGAGGAGACUGAGGCACAGGGAGCUUAGCCAACUUACCCAAGAUCACACAGAGAGCAAGACAGAGCCAGGGUACAAGCUCCACAGCUCAGCUCUGCGCAGACCACAUGCCUCCCCAGCUACAGCAAAAUAGAGCUGUCUCCUGUCAGAUCAGUUCCCUUUAGAAAUGCUACCUGAUCAGGUUCCAAGGUAGGAAGUACAUCAGGCUAUUCAAAGAAGCUUUGGAAAACAAGAAAAAAAACACCAACCGCCCAAUGCAAAACUAACAAAGAACAAAGACAACUCACAUACGUGUACACAUGGCAGAGACAAGAGAAUACUAUAAAAAGCAAUGAUAAACCAAUGAAUACAACAAAUAGACCCGAAGUUAAACAUAACCUGUGAUGUUGCAGAAGUUUGCAUGGGAAAUGCAGUCUCAGGAGCAGUUGGAAUAGAUGUUUAUCUCCAAGUAACGCCUUGUAGCCAUCCUGAGGAAGUGGAGUGAACAACUUUCAGGUAAUUAUGUUAGUGAAAAUUUGGAAACCAUCUACUCGCCCAAAAGGAGACAACUGAAUAAUUUAUAAUAUAUCCAUGCACAUUUUAAGAAAUGUUUAAUGGAACUUGUGGUAAUCAUUCCACAAUGUAUAUGUUUAUCAAAUCAUCAUGUACACUUUAAAGAUGGACAAUUUGUCAAUUAUACUUAAAGCUGGAAAAAUGUUGAAUUGUUUGAUGCAAUGCUCACUAUAUUAUAAUGAAUAAAGAAGGUACGCUAUUUUA